GGGGUUCCAGUUGAAAGUAAUUUUGAGCUCACUGUUUUUGCAAUGCUGUCAAGUAGCAUUAAGCAGAUCAGCCGACGGCUUCAGAGCGGUGAAGUCACUGCAUCUGAGCUGGUAGAGAACUGCCUAGCGAGGGCUCACCAGACCAAGGAUCUGAACGCGUUCGUCACGAUCACUGCCGACCUGGCCAGAGAGCAAGCGCAACAGUCAGAUGAACGGAGACGCCAAGGUCAACCGCUGGG